UUGUAAUUGGAAUGAUGGGAAUUUAAACCUCUUCCAGAGUAUCAAUCUGGAGGGCAAGUCUGGUGCCAGCAGCCGCGGUAAUUCCAGCUCCAAUAGCGUAUAUUAAAAUUGUUGCAGUUAAAAAGCUCGUAGUUGAAUUUCUGCUGUAUUGCAUUUUCUCUUUUUAUAUGAGUUUUUGCAUUAUGGCUUAUUUCAGUAUUAAUUUUUUAUUAUUACUGAAUGUUUACUUUGAGAAAAUUAGAGUGCUCAAAGCAGGCUUUUGCCUUGAAUAGUUUAGCAUGGAAUAAUAAAGUAGGACUUUGGUUCUAUUUUGUUGGUUUUAGGUACCAAAGUAAUGGUUAAUAGGAACAGUUGGGGGCAUUCGUAUUUAACUGUCAGAAGGGGAAAUUCUUAGAC
rnacentral:rRNA from 1 species